rnacentral:rRNA from 1 species
GAAAAUUACAAGCAUAAGCUCAAAACUCAGAGGACUUGGCGGCGCUUUAGACCCACCUAGAGGAGCCUGUCCUAUAACCGAUAACCCCCGUUAAACCUUACCUUCUUUUGCCUCCAGUCUAUAUACCGCCGUCGUCAGCUUACCCUUUGAGGGUUCUACUAGUAAGCGAGUUCGGCCUAAGCCCCAGACGUCAGGUCGAGGUGUAGCAUAUAAGAAGAGAAGAGAUGGGCUACAUUUCCUAUUAAAGGACUGCCGGAUAAUGUUUUGAAAUAAACAUAUUGAAGCAGGAUUUAGCAGUAAGUAAAAAAUAGAGCGUUUUACUGAAACUUGGCCCUUAAGCGCGCACACACCGCCCGUCGCUCUCUCCUAAUAUUAACUAACACUUUUAUAAAAAAUUAUACAAAUAAAGGAGAGAUAAGUCGUAACAUGGUAAGUGUACUGGAAAGUGCACUUGGACAAAC